GAUGAACGCNGGCGGCGUGCUUAACACAUGCAAGUCGAACGAAGCUGCCCAAAGGAAGUUUUCGGAUGGAAUUUAGGUAGACUUAGUGGCGGACGGGUGAGUAACGCGUGGAUAACCUGCCUUAUACAGGGGGAUAACGGAGAGAAAUUUCCGCUAACACCGCAUAAGAUCACAGCACCGCAUGGUGCAGGGGUAAAAUAUUUAUAGGUAUAAGAUGGAUCCGCGUCCGAUUAGCUUGUUGGUGAGGUAGAGGCUCACCAAGGCGACGAUCGGUAGCCGGCCUGAGAGGGUGAACGGCCACAUUGGGACUGAGACACGGCCCAAACUCCUACGGGAGGCAGCAGUGGGGAAUAUUGGACAAUGGGGGGGAACCCUGAUCCAGCAACGCCGCGUGAGUGAAGAAGUAUUUCGGUAUGUAAAGCUCUAUCAGCAGGGAAGAAAANGACG
rnacentral:rRNA from 1 species